rnacentral:rRNA from 1 species
AUGACGUCAAGUCAGCAUUGGCCUUUAUGUCCAGGGCUACACACACGCUACAAUGGUCAGGCACAAUAGGUAGCCAAGCCGCGAGGUGGAGCCAAUCCUCAAAGCUGCCUCAGUUCAGAUCGCAGGCUGCAACCCGCCUGCGUAGAAGCCGGAGUUGCUAGUAACCGCAGGUCAGCUAUAGUGCGGUGAAUACGUUCCCGGGGCUU